GACGAACGCUGGCGGCGUGCCUAAUACAUGCAAGUCGAACGCAGUGGGGACGGGUGAGUAACACGUGGCUAACCUCCCAUCAGAGGGGAUAACACUUGGAAACAGGUGCUAAACUGAUACUGAUGGAUGGACCCGCGGUGCAUUAGCUAGUGGGUGGGGUAACGGCUCACCAAGGCCACGAUGCCUAGCCGAGCGGAGAGGGUGAGCGGCCACACUGGGACUGAGACACGGCCCAGACGCCUACGGGAGGCAGCAGUAGGGAAUAUUCGGCAAUGGACGAAAGUCUGACCGAGCCAUGCCGCGUGAGUGAAGAAGGUUUUCGGAUCGUAAAACACUGUUGUUAGAGAAGCGGUAUCUAAACAGAAAGCCACGGCUAACUACGUGCCAGCAGCCGCGGUAAUAC
rnacentral:rRNA from 1 species